rnacentral:rRNA from 1 species
GCUUAACGCGAAGAACCUUACCUACCCUUGACAUGUACGGAAUUCCGCAGAGAUGUGAAAGUGCCCGAAAGGGAACCGUAACACAGGUGCUGCAUGGCUGUCGUCAGCUCGUGUCGUGAGAUGUUGGGUUAAGUCCCGCAACGAGCGCAACCCUUGCCAUUAGUUGCUACAUUCAGUUGGGCACUCUAAUGGGACCGCCGGUGACAAACCGGAGGAAGGUGGGGAUGACGUCAAGUUCUCAUGGCCCUUAUGGGUAGGGCUUCACACGUAAUACAAUGGUCGGUACAGAGGGCUGCCAACCCGCAAGGGGGAGCUAAUCCCAGAAAGCCGAUCGUAGUCCGGAUUGUAGUCUGCAACUCGACUGCAUGAAGCCGGAAUCGCUAGUAAUCGCGGAUCAGCAUGUCGCGGUGAAUACGUUCCCGGGUCUGUACACAC